UUGGCUCUCGCAUCGAUGAAGAACGCA
rnacentral:rRNA from 2 species